rnacentral:rRNA from 1 species
GACGAACGCUGGCGGCGUGCCUAAUACAUGCAAGUAGAACGCACAGUUUAUACCGUAGCUUGCUACACCAUAGACUGUGAGUUGCGAACGGGUGAGUAACGCGUAGGUAACCUGCCUGGUAGCGGGGGAUAACUAUUGGAAACGAUAGCUAAUACCGCAUAAUAUUGAUUAUUGCAUGAUAAUUGAUUGAAAGAUGCUAUUGCAUCACUACCAGAUGGACCUGCGUUGUAUUAGCUAGUAGGUGAGGUAACGGCUCACCUAGGCGACGAUACAUAGCCGAGCUGGGAGGGUGAUCGGCCACACCGGGACUGGGACACGGCCCAAACUCCUACGGGGGGGAGCCGUAGGGAAUCUUCGGAAAAGGACGAAAGUCUGACCGAGCAACGCCGCGGGGGUGAAGGAGGUUUUCGGAUCGUAAAGCUCUGUUGUAAGAGAAGAACGGGUGUGAGAGUGGAAAGUUCACACUGUGACGGUACCUUACCAGAAAGGGACGGCUAACUACGUG